rnacentral:rRNA from 1 species
GAGCUCAGCGCAUAACCUCCCGGGCCACCAGGCCUGCGGCGGAAUGUUGCGUUAAGGGAGAGGYCGUCUUUAAACCCUUCGACCACACGAUCCUAAGUUUGCCUUGAUUGGGCAGUCCUUCCUUGUAGGUUGGUCUGACUCCACGGAGGGUGUAAGACCCGUCUGGGCGUGUGUCAAAGUCGAGUGGGCAAGACCUCUCCUUGAGAGUCGUGCUGUUUGGACAUGCAGCACUAAGCAGGUCGUAAACUCGAUCCAAGGCUAAAUAUUUCCACAGAACCGAUAGUGAACAAGUACCGAGAGGGAAAGUUGAAAAGGAUCUCUGAACAGAGAGUCAAAAGACCGUGAAACCGCUCAGAGUAUAAGCCAAUGGUAUCUGGAAGGCCGUACGCCGGUCUAUGGUGGCAUCUAUUCCAAACGCGGCCGAGCUGCGGGGUGUCAUCUCGAGAUCUUGGAAGAGCUUGUCAAUUCAAAGUUUAACGGCGGAGAGCAUUCCUAAUCGGCGUUGAGUGUGUCACCUUCACGGGUGGCGUGCUCACGACGGGACUGGGAGUGGGCUUGCAAACCCAAGAUCUGAGGCGGCGUUUUUAAGGCCCACCACGGCACGUUGUGAGGCGACCCACAGGCACCUCUCGGUGAUUGCAGCUUCCACUGCUCACACUGCCAGUUCGCUGUCGAUCGUCAUAUCUUCAGUGGCUUAAGUCGUGAGCAAACUCUGGAGGCUGGGCAUCGUAACCAAGGGUGUUCUGGUAUCGUCCUCUGCGACGAGCUGCUUGCUGGCCUGUGCUGGGCUCCCGUGUCUGUCUGUCCGGGCAGGCACGACAGUCUCGACAGUCUUGUCAUCCUGUGUGUGGCAUCUGUCGGGGUCCAGCCAGUGUGGUGAUCAGUCCAGUGCCAUCGGUCACGUCUCGAAACACGGGCCAAGGAGUAUAGCAUGUGUGCAAGUCUAAGGGCCUUAAUAAGCCUGCAGGCAAAGUGAAAGCAAGGCUGCGGCGAUCGACUCUUGGGUCGUUCGUCGGGCUUCGGCAUUCGUGUCGAGCUCAUGUGUGGUGUUCACGCAUCACACGGCAGGGCUGACUCUUUUCUCUCGUACUCUGCACAUUGGAAGGAUGCAAGCCCCGGACUCGCAGACGGUGCUGUCGCAAGACAGUGCCUGGCGAGUACCGCGGAGCAUGCAUGCUAUGACCCGAAAGAUAGUGAACUAUGCCUGGCGAGGGCGAAGCCCCUGGAAACUGGGGUGGAGGCCCGUAGCCGUUGUGACGUGCAAAUCCAUGGUA